UCACAAGAUGUACAUUGAAGCUGCAAAGCCAAACAAAGAUUACUGGUAUUUUAUUUUUCCCUGAGAAGAAACACCCCAGUGUUCUCACAAGUGUCUCCUCUCGGGUUUCUGCAGAGAUCUCAGCAAAGUCACACAAUGGGCUCAGAUUUUCAAAGUAGUGCUCUGAUGUUUGUUUGCAAUUUGAAAGUUAUUUUCCUUGCAAUGUGAAAUGUGUGGACAGUUGUUUAUGAUAAUAAAACACUUUACUACGAUUACAAAA